rnacentral:tRNA from 1 species
GGGCAUAUAGCUCAGUUGGUUAGAGCACGACUCUUAUACAGUCGGGGUCGAUCGUACACAUCCAUCUAUGCCCA